rnacentral:tRNA from 1 species
GUUAAGGUGGCAGAUUAUGCGUGAAUUUUAAGAGUUUAUGAAGACUUAGGUCCUUUAACUU